rnacentral:rRNA from 1 species
AUUGAACGCUGGCGGCAGGCCUAACACAUGCAAGUCGAGCGGAUGAAGGGAGCUUGCUCCUGGAUUCAGCGGCGGACGGGUGAGUAAUGCCUAGGAAUCUGCCUGGUAGUGGGGGAUAACGUCCGGAAACGGGCGCUAAUACCGCAUACGUCCUGAGGGAGAAAGUGGGGGAUCUUCGGACCUCACGCUAUCAGAUGAGCCUAGGUCGGAUUAGCUAGUUGGUGGGGUAAAGGCCUACCAAGGCGACGAUCCGUAACUGGUCUGAGAGGAUGAUCAGUCACACUGGAACUGAGACACGGUCCAGACUCCUACGGGAGGCAGCAGUGGGGAAUAUUGGACAAAGGGCGAAAGCCUGAUCCAGCCAUGCCGCGUGUGUGAAGAAGGUCUUCGGAUUGUAAAGCACUUUAAGUUGGGAGUAAGGGCAGUAAGUUAAUACCUUGCUGUUUUGACGUUACCAACAGAAUAAGCACCGGCUAACUUCGUG